rnacentral:tRNA from 1 species
GGAUUAGCUCAAUUGGUAGAGCAACUGAAUCGUAAUCAGUAGGUUGUGGGUUCGACUCCUAUAUCCA